UACGAAGGGGGCUAGCGUUGCUCGGAAUCACUGGGCGUAAAGCGCACGUAGGCGGCUUUCUAAGUCAGGGGUGAAAUCCUGGAGCUCAACUCCAGAACUGCCUUUGAUACUGGAAAGCUUGAGUUCGGGAGAGGUGAGUGGAACUGCGAGUGUAGAGGUGAAAUUCGUAGAUAUUCGCAAGAACACCAGUGGCGAAGGCGGCUCACUGGCCCGAUACUGACGCUGAGGUGCGAAAGCGUGGGAGCAAACAGG
rnacentral:rRNA from 1 species